rnacentral:rRNA from 1 species
CUACGGGAGGCACCAGUGGGGAAUAUUGGACAAUGGGGGAAACCCUGAUCCAGCAAUGCCGCGUGUGUGAAGAAGGCCUGCGGGUUGUAAAGCACUUUCGGUUGGGAGGACUGCUUCUAGCACUAAUAUUGUUGGAAGUUGACGUUACCUUCAGAAGAAGCACCGGCUAACUCCGUGCCAGCAGCCGCGGUAAUACGGGGGGUGCAAGCGUUAAUCGGAAUUACUGGGCGUAAAGCGCGCGUAGGCGGCUAGAUCAGUCGGGUGUGAAAGCCCCGGGCUUAACCUGGGAACUGCAUCCGAUACUGUCUAGCUUGAGUACAGGAGAGGAGAGUGGAAUUCCACAUGUAGCGGUGAAAUGCGUAGAUAUGUGGAGGAACACCAAUGGCGAAGGCAGCUCUCUGGCCUGAUACUGACGCUGAGGUGCGAAAGCGUGGGGAGCAAACAGGAUUAGAUACCCGAGUAGUC